AUACGGAAGGUCCGGGCGUUAUCCGGAUUUAUUGGGUUUAAAGGGAGCGCAGGCGGAGAUGCAAGCGUGACGUCAAAUUUCGGGGCUCAACCCCGUCUCGCGUCGCGAACUGCGUCCCUUGGUUGCGGGAAGGGGAGGCGGAACUCGUGGUGUAGCGGGGAAAUGCAUAGAUAUCACGAAGAACUCCGAUCGCGAAGGCAGCCUUCCGGCCCGUCAACGACGCUCAUGCUCGAAGGUGCGGGUAUCAAACAGGAUUAGAUACCCUGGUAGUCCGUACAGUAAACGAUGGACACCCGCGGUUUGGCCUGUAUGGCUGAGCCGCCAAGCGAAAGCGUUAAGUGUCCCACCUGGGGAGUACGCCGGCAACGGUGAAACUCAAAUGAAUUGACGGGG
rnacentral:rRNA from 1 species